UGCGGGAGGAGCCGCCGCGCCGUGUCCCGGGGGCGUGGCCCCUGGUACGUGCGCUCCAUUCUCAUUGGUGCCGCACCCGGAAGAUCCGCUGGCCCCUGCGCGGUGGGGCCGCCGCGCUGCAUUCCCUUUCCCCGAGGAGAUGGCGGUGGCGGCGCGACGGCGGCCGCGGGAGCCAGAACGGCAGGAGCGGGAGCAGGACGAUGGUGGGCGGGUGAUGUCACGAUCCCUAUCGGGACAGUCCUACUGGCUGGACUUGUGGCUCUUCAUCCUCUUCGACCUGGCGCUUUUCCUGUUUAUCUACCUGCUGCCCUGAGGGCGCGGCCCAGGGCCGUUGCCACCAAGGGAAUUCUCACCUAUUUCGCACCUUAUGAACACAGGUGGUGGAAGAGGAGGGCCAUUUGUGCGGGAUAAGCAACUGGGAACAGGACUCCACUUGAGUCUGGAUGGAGGAGGCACAUUUUUGUACUGUACUGUGAUAGAUCUCUGUGUCACAAGUGUUACUGUGUUCUGUUCGUGUGUCCUAAACUGUGCCUCACAGGUUACGUACAAUAGACUGACUGUGCUUUGUGAUUAGUGCCUAAAGGUUUGUUGGGCAGAAAUGGAAGUAUGCACUGUGUGAAUAAAAUCCACUGAAAGGACACCCUGCAGAGUGGCUGAGAAUAAAACCCAGCUCUUCUGUACACUGAAGUUGUAACUCAGGCAUGUUCCCUCAACAGAUGAAGCUUGGCCAGCUGUUCUGCUUCUGAAAAGUUAAUCCUGAUGGGUUGAUGCUGGUUGGUUUUCUAUAAUACCUUUCUCUGUUUUUUCUUUACCUUCAGCAGUUACUGAGCCCUCUCAGGCUCAGUAUUUAUAGAUAUAAAUAUAUACAUAUAUAAACUAUGUCAGUGUUUAACCCAGCAGCAGUGUCCUGUCCUCACUUACUGAUUAAGAUAAAUCAGGUUCUCAUUUCCUUGAAAUUUCUCAUUUCACAGAAACUGUGAAGGAGGAACUUACAAGAUCCCUCCUCCUCACCAUCCAUAGAUGGUGUAAGUAGACAGUGACAGGUAAUUAAAAGCUUUCAACAUCAAUUUCCUCUGUCUCACUAGAGGGAGACUUUCAAACUUGUGUUAAAGGGAGGAGUCUCUUGGAGUCUUUGGAGAAAGAAACAGAAGCUGAGCACAUGGAGUGAAGUUUUUGUCAGGGCACAUUUGGGGGAAGACAGUUUUCAAGCUAUGGAUGAAGGGGAUUCAGUUAUCCUUAGCAUUUUUCCCUUGGGAAUACUAAUUUCAAGAAGUAUAAUCCAUGCUUGGUGGUUGUGUUUGUUUUUUUUUUUUUUUCCAGGAGUACAUAUAACAAAAUAACUGGAUUGCAGAUAUUUGGAAGUGCAGAGUGGUUCAGUGGUGCAGUGUCUUCCCACACAAUAACUGAAAAUGAGCCAGGAUGAGGUUAAUAGGAUUAAUACGAUUGUGGAUGCAAAAAUAGACUGAUGCUCUUUCCUUUUAUUUUUACUCAAUUGGGAGGACAAUUUUACAGUUGGCAGCAGUUUGUUUCGUGUGUCAGCCCUGUGCUGUAAGAACAGAGAUGCUGUGCCCUGCUGGCAUUUAUCAUUAUGAUCCUGACUCAAGGUGCACAGGAGCCCUGAACUGUGACUGCAUUCUCACAAACACCAGAAUGGGGGUUCCAGUUUUUGAAUGAGGCCAUUAAAGAGACAAGUUCACUACAUUCACUACCUUUUUAUACCCCCCCUUCUGGCAUGAUAUCACAAGUGAAGUUCCCAGUGAACAAUCAGGAAAAGACUGUAAUGUUACUCCAUUUCUUUUUUGAUAAGGAAGACAGGUGAGAUUUAAAGGCUUAGAAAGUUGACUUUCAAGCUAUCUUCCACUAAUUUAGUUUUCUCCUUCAACCAGAUCUGACAUAAAAGAUUCUGCUUAUCUCAGAAAACUUGAGAGCUAACAAAGUGCAGGCUGGUGUUGCAGUGGUCUCCAGGUGUUCCAUAGGCACAUGGAACUCCUAAGUACAGAGAUCCAGCUAACCACAUCUUCUUACGGAAUUAAUAACAUCCAUCCAAACCUGCUGCCGCAAGGUGUGCACACCCAAGGGACCACAUGGAAUACAAACUGAAGAAGACAAGCUGAGUAACAGAGAUUUUGGAGGUGCACCUGUUUGCCUUAAUGGACUAUUUCGCAACUCUUCCAUUGAUUUUACAUCUGCUACCGAGUUAUUCUCUGAUCCUGCCAAUGUGCUCAGAGCAUAUUUCUUCGGAGCUGGCUGGAGAGCUGAUGAUGGGAAAAAUUUCCUGUUGGUGUCAGGCAUUUCAGCUCUAAAAUACAAAACCACACAGGAUAGAUUACACAAACAAACAAAAUACAACAGGACAAUCUCUUUCAAGAUUUGAAAUUAAUCAGAAUAACCAUUUUGAAGAUAAUCUGCAUGGAAGGUCAGAUCUUAGAAUCUGGAGGAAAUUUUCUGCAUUUUCUUGUUACCAGAAAAUAGGCUGUGAUGAUUUUCCCUCCAAGCCCGACUCCCGGAGGAGCCCGCAGGCUCCCGAGGCAAUGCCGCAGGCGGCCGGGAGGUGGCAGCAGAGGCCAGCGAGCGGCUCCCUAGGGCACAUCAGCCGCGCCAGGUGCUUCGUGCCCGCGGAAUUCCAGCGAAUAUAAAAAUAGAUGUGUUAUUUUCCCUUCUGCUGACAGGACAGCCAUGCACGGUUAAAACUAGACGCCGGGUCGAUUGGGAAUUUUGGCUCUACAUUCUCUGCAAACCUGAGUAUGGGACACACAAGCCCUGCUCAGCUGGAGCCCGGCAUCCUUAUCAAUGAGUCAUUAAGAGCCGAGCAAUAAACGAAAGGUUCUGACAUAUAAA